rnacentral:tRNA from 1 species
AACAAAUUUUGAGUCAGGUCUUCUAAACUUGGUUAGGGUUUUACCCGUUUGUUU